GAUGAAGAACGUAGCGAAAUGCGAUAAGUAAUGUGAAUUGCAGAAUUCAGUGAAUCAUCGAAUCUUUGAACGCACAUUGCGCCCCCUGGUAUUCCGGGGGGCAUGCCUGUCCGAGCGUCAUUACAACCCUCAAGCUCAGCUUGGUGUUGGGCCCCGCCGCCCCGGCGGGCCCUAAAGUCAGUGGCGGUGCCGUCCGGCUCCGAGCGUAGUAAUUCUUCUCGCUCUGGAGGUCCGGUCGUGUGCUCGCCAGCAACCCCCAAUUUUUUUCAGGUUGACCUCGGAUCAGGUAGGGAUACCCGCUGAACUUAAGCAUAUCAGUAAGCGGAGGA
rnacentral:misc_RNA from 1 species